GCAGCGAUGUUCGAGUGGUUAAAGGGAUUGACUCGAAACCAAUUUGGCUCUGCCCGCGUAGGCUCCAAUCCUACUCUCUGCG
rnacentral:tRNA from 1 species